ensembl:lncRNA
UAGUUGCUCUUAUUAUUGCUCUUGUAAGCCUUUAUUGUAUUUGAUGUAUACAGUUGUGCUGUUCAAUUUUGUAAUGCUGGCAGGACGUUUAUUUGUUACUGUUUUUACUAGUUUGUUUGCUGUAAGGUGACCUUGGGUUAUUAUUAUUAUUAUUAUUUAUUAUUAUCAUGUUGGUCAGAUGGCCGCUAUAUAUCUGAAAGGACCAUUCUUGACCAGAUUUAGCUACAAUAUGCACAAAAUUUAAUGCGAGUUAUUUGAUUAAAUUCAAGAGACUGUGAACAGAACUGAUUACUUUUAAAACUAAACAAUGCUGUUUAUUUUUUUUUUAUGCUUUUGACAAAGAGGAAACUCAGUUCAAUCAGAGACCAAAACUCUCCUGGCAGGAUGAUGUGGUAUUAGCGUCUUCUUCAACAUACAGUUCACUCAUGUCUACAUACAUGUAGUUUGAAUCCUCUUCAAAUAUGCAGGGGGACAUUGGGUAAUGUGAAAGUGACAAAAGUGAUGUGACGUGGCCAAGUAUGGUAACCCAUACUCGGAAUUAGUGCUCUGCAUUUAUCCCAUCCUAAGUACACACACACAGCAGUGAACACACACACACACCAUGAACACCAUGAGCGCUGUACAUUCACUCCCCCCACCUACAAUCUCUGCCGGUACAAGACUCGAACCUGCAACCUUUGGGUUACGAGUCCGACUUCCCCUGUGUUGAAUGUGUUGUGAAUGUGUGUUGAAUGUUUGACAGAGAAAUGGGCACAAAGAAGAUAUCCUGUGCAUUGCUCACUGCACACCGCAUCUCCUGGCCACUGGCAGCUACGAUGGGGAAAUCAUUGUAUGGAAUGUGGUGUCUGGACGCAUACAGUGUCGCUUCCAGACCCCUCAGUUUUAAAAGAGCAGCGGUACACAUAGUAUGCCAAUAUUUCUGUGAAUUUUUAAAUUAAAUAAUAAAAAAUCAUUACAAUUCUGCUGAUUUGUAAGGAGCCCCGCACAUGACAUGCAAGAAAAAUAAAUAAAUUGUGCACACAUUUUUUCCUGCUUGCCAUGUGCAGGGCUCCGUAGAUUCUCAAUCAAAUCUAUUGGAUGAAAACUUGGAAUACUGUGCACAAGUCAUAUAGACAUAAUGGACUUAGAUUUUGAAGUGAAAUAUCCAUUUAAAGAAACAGUUCACCCAAAAAUUAAAAUGUACUCACCCUCAGGCCAUCCAAAAUGUAGAGUUUGUUUCUUCAUUGGAACAGAUUUGGAGAAAUUUAGCAUUGCAUCUCUUGCACAAUGGGUCCACUGCAGUGAAUGGGUGCCGUCAAAAUGAGGGUCCAAACAGCUGAUAAAAACAUCACAAUAAUUCACAAGUAAGACACACAAUUAAUGUCAAUUAAUGUCUUGUAAAUUGAAAAGCUGUGUGUUUGCAAUAAACAAAUUUAUCAAGAUAUUUUUAACCUCAAACCAUUGCUUCUAGCUAAAAUAUGAGCCGAGCCAUAAUAUUGCUUUCUCCAGUUAAAAAUAAAAUAAAAAUAGUCUUGUCUGAAUUAGAAGAAAAAUACCAAAGACUAGAAUAUCCAAGACGGGUCACUCGUAUAGUUUUGAAUGGGAAAAAAUGCAACUUAUGUGUUGUUUAUUAUUUAACUGCAUACAAAAGGUUGAAACACAAGUGUGCUGAGCCUCAUCUUCCUAAAGACACGGGCAUUUGUUCCUGAAUUGUCCCCUUCUGCUUGGCUUGUAUCCUCAGGGUCUCAAGGUAAACUGGUCUUUGUGAUGAAUAAAAUCACAGAAAGAAGAAAAUCAGUUAAUAUAUGCAGAGCUUCUGAAUCUGAUUUCACUAAACAUAUUUAAUCUCUGUCAAAGGUAAUGUUAAUUUCUGAAGUGUUCUGAAUGGCGGGAAGUUCAUCACAUCUUUUCAGGCUGUAAGUAUCAAGUAUUUUAUCUUUCCUCAAGUUUGAUUAAAAAUUCAGUGCCAACAGAAUGAAGCAAAGGUUCUAAUUAAAGCUGUCUUCUUUUCAAGUCUUAACUUCAGCAGCAGAUUGCAAAACUGGCUUUAACCCGGGAUGACAGCAUGCUUUUUACAGCCGAUCAUGUCGGCUUCAUCUACAUUUACAAUGUCAAGCAAUACGCCCUGGGACCCGAACAAAACCCUCCGAAAAAGGUGAACUUCUGGCGUGCGUAUAUCAGCAGCAUCACUAGCUUGAAGAUAUUUGACAAGGACCAGUUUUUAAAAGCUCAGUUCGUCUUCGGAACACAAUUUAAGAUAUUUUGGAUGAAAAUCGGGAGGCC